UGAUCCAUUCGGAGAUUGUCACAUCCUCAGUCAUAGUGGUUGUCUGUCACACAGAGCAGAAGUGAUGUCUCAAGCUGUCAUUAUUGAAGCCUUGUUUCAAGCGAUCUGCGAAAUGACAACUCAUUCAACUUCAUGUUUACAGAUGAAGUGAUCCACUUGGAGGUUGUCAGAUCAUCAGUCAUAGUGUUGUCUGUCCCACAGAGCAGAAGUGAUGUCUCAAGCUGUUGUUAUUGAAGCCUAUAGUGUUCAGCAAUCUGCGUUAUAUCAACUCUUUCAACUUCAAAUUAAAGAUGAAGUGAUCCAAUCAGAGGUGACCAGAUCAUCAGUCAUAAUGCCGUCUAGAUUGUCAGAUCAUCAGUCAUAGUGGCUGUCUGUCACACAGAACAGAAGUGAUGUCUCAAGCUAUUGCUACUGAAGCCUCGUUUCCAGCAAUCUGCUUUAUAACAACUCUUUGAACUUCAUGUUGACAGACCAAGUAAUCCAGACGGAGAGUGUGAUAUCUUCACAAGGAGUUCCUGCCAUCCCCAGCACAGAUGUUGCAACCUGUAUGGAGUUUGUAUUUAGUUGUAGGCCUAUAUUAUAGGGAUGGAUCAUAAAGGUUAUGACUGUGUGGUGAAUUGCUCAUACUUUCUCUUGUGUGGUGAAUUGCUUGCACUUUCCCUUGCGUUGGAAAUUUCUCGCACUUCUCUUUGUGUGGUAAAUUAUCAAGUAUACUAACUGAAACGUUGUCUAAGGCUUAGUUUGAAGAAUGUUUCUUCCCUUUGUGGUGGAGUUACUGGCACUUCCCUUUGUGUCUUGAGUUAUUGGCACUUCCCUUGGUGUUGUGAGUUACUGACACUUCCCUUUGUGCCGUGACUCACUGACACUCAUUUAGCUCAUUCAGUUUACGUAUGCUGGUGUAUGGAGUUGACAAACUUGGCUGCCAUAUAGUGGAGCCGGCAUGGGAAUUUUUCCCCAGAGGGGUUUUUGCCCAUCUCAUACAUCAGCAAUAACAGCCAUGCAACAUCUGAUUUUUAUGGUUUUGGUUUUCUUAACCAUUUAAUAAUUAUAAAACAAAACACAAAAUCUUGCUGUGCCUUGAUUUCUGGAAAAGCCAAAUCUUUUAUCAAAAUAGAGAGUUGCAUGUGUUGAGUAGGAGACACUUUAGUGUCUACAUUCUUAGGAGUCAAACAAAACUUGACCUGGUGUUUGCUUUGUAAUUAGUCGAUUAUUUUUGUAGGUUAGUCAACGUUUCAGGGUGUGUGAAUGAUUUUUUUGCUCACACUUUCCAUUGUGUGUUGAAUUAAUCACACUUUCCAUUUUGUGUUGAAUUGUUCACACUUCUCCUUGUGGGUCUCUUCACCUGGUGUUAUGCUGAGUUGCUCACACUUCCUUAGUGUCGUGAGUUACUAGCACUUUCCAUUGUGUCGUAAGUCACCGACACUUCCCUUUGUGUCGUGAGUUACACUUCCCCUUGUGUCGUGAGUUACUGACACUUCCCUUUGUGUCGUGAGUCACUGACACUUCCCUUUGUGUCGUGAGUUACACGUCCCUUUGUGUCGUGAGUUACUGACACAUCCCUUUGUGUUGUGAGUUACACUUCCCUUUGUGUCGUGAGUUACUGACACUUCCCUUUGUGUCGUGAGUUACACUUCCCUUUGUAUUGUGAGUUACUGACACUUCCCUUUGUGCCAUGAGUAACUGGCACUUCCCUUUGUGUCGUGAGUAACUGACACUUCCCUUUGUGUCGUGAGUUACAGGCACUUCCACUUUGUUGUGAGUUACAGACACUUCCCUUUGUGUUGUGAGUUACUGACACUUCCCUUUGUGUCGUUAUGCAUACCUUCCUUGUAUGGUAACAACUUUAGAUUUCCCCUGUAGGUAUAUAAACAUUCCCUUCCCCACUCAAAGGUUAAUGAUUCAGAUUCAUACAUGCCAAAUUCACGAAACAAAAUCUUCAAGAAACCUUCCCUUGCAGAGAAUCAGGGCACUCUGAUUGUCUUCUUGGGACACAGUUUUUCCAGUCAGAGAACACUCUGAUUGAAACUGUACAAAUAAGUGUUAACCAAAUUGUUUGCAUAACUUUUGGAUGAAUAUAAUUGAAACCUUCCUUUGCGGAUAAUCAGGGCUCUCUGAUUGUCUACUUGGGACACAGUUUUACCAGUCAGAGAGCACUCUGAUUGAAACUGUCGCGUGGAAUUUUACACAAAACUCUUCAUUUCUUAUUUAUUUUGACAGUUGCAUUUUUUUAGAAUAACAAUCAUUUCUGAAUCAUAUGUCUUUGUUUUACUUAAACUAAAUGCUUGAGCUGCUCCUAUACCCACAAAUGAGACCACUCAAAAGUGUAAAACUUUUUAAAAUAAAAAAAUAAUGACUUUUCGUGCUAGCGAAGCCAUUUACUUUGUUUCAUUGGUAUCCAGAUAUAAAAACAAAACUAUGGAAAUCUCAGUAACAUUUUCAAAAAAUAUCGGGAAUAAUAUACUUCAGAGCUUGAAACACAGCACAAUUUGUUCUUCAUAUUAUUUCUUUAUUAUUCUUUUGGGUUUUUUUUUUUUUUAUUGAAAUUUCAAGAUCUAAAACGUGGACUCAUUGUGCAGGAGCAGGUCAUUUGAUGUUAGGGCCUCAUCAAAACCCAUGAAAAACUCGCAGAGUUGUGCAAACACCUGUGCCUGUUGGUGGACCCCCUUGGCUGCCUGGAACAAGUGUUGGUCCUGCGGGCCCGGGUGCAAUGGAAGGUAUGUUCUCCAUUUCAACAGUAGUUGAUGCACAACUAGUGUUCUCCUUCACUGGUGUAAUGCCUUACAAAAUAUUACGAGCUGGAGCGAGCAUUUUUGGAAGCAAUUGACUAGGGAUUGAGCUGGAAGUUAGUGGUUGGUCCCUAAAACGUCCUGGUCAGCCAGAUCUCUCAAGACGUCGGGAUGAGGGCCCCUUAUAAUUUAGCCUUUUGUUAGUCACGUCAUUCUUUUGUGUUUGAGUAAACAGGUUUGAACUGGGGAUCUAUUGAGAUCAUCAAAGGUGCCAAGAGAUGUCUUCGUUUGAGCCAAUGGAAUCUGGACUCGGUGGAUGAUGAGGACGUCUAUUCAGUUGAUGGUGUGAGGGCUGGAGAAACAUGUUCUGCUUGGUCAUGCCACUUCACAUCCAAAAUUUCUAGUAAGAAAACCAAUUUUAUUGCCUUUUGAUACCAAAGCUGACAUUGGAUUCCUAUAAUUUGUAGUUGUUUUGAAUUGGAUGUUUUAGAAGAGGUGAAAGGUCAGGUCUAUGUCAAGGUUCUUAGAGUCUGUCUGUUCAUGGUCAAGGACAAAUUACUGCAGGAGAUCACAAAUUUAGUUUUCAAAGUAGUGCCAAACAGAAUGUUUGUCAUAAAAGUUCUGCAAAACUACAAGGUUAUAGGCUUGCAGAUUUAUCAAAUUUUGCCCUAAAAUGCUACAAGGCUAUUAUGUUUACGUUUUUAUCAAAUUUGUUUUCUAAAAGGCAACAAGGGUUAGGCUCGCAUAUUUAUCAAACUUUGCUCAAAUUUUGCCCGAAAUUGCAACAAGGCUAUAGGCAUGUGUAUUUUGCUAACAAUUUUGCCCUUAAAUGCAACAAGGCUUGCGUUUGCAUAUUCGUCAAAGUUUGCCCUAACGUUCACAGGCUGCAGGUUUGCGUAUUUAUCAAAUUUUGUCCUAAAAUGAAACAAGGCUAUAGGCUUGCAUAUUUGUCAAUUUUGCACUUUAAUGCAACAAGGCUUCCGCUUGCGUAUUUAUCAAAUGUUGCCCUUAAAUGCAACAAAAUAAAUCAAAUACUUUAGUUCUUGAUCAAUCUUUAGCCGCGUUAAAAAAUGUUUGGUCAUGGUGGUCAAAUUUUUUUUUUUUUUUAAGAUGGUAGUUGUUAUACUAAUCCAAUGUCAUCUUUGUUAUCAUUUAUUGGCAAACAUGUAAUGAGAAAACAUCACUAUUCGCCAGACUUAAACUGUUAAAAACAUGUUGACAUUUGUGUGAAUUCGUGAAGUGUUUUUCUCAGAGCUUUUGGUUGAUACAUGUGUCUUAAACACUCAGUAUUUUUGUUGGUCAUCAAAGUUGGUUAAAAACAAGUUCACUUGUAGCCAUUUUGUUAGUUGACUACAUCUGAACGUCCAAAUUGCAGCCCCAUGGAAAGCAAGGGGGAAGUUAGUGGCCAUUGCAAAAUUUGUUUCUCCGACCAGCACAUCGUCAUCUGGAUAGAAGUCGUCAUCAUCUGUUGAAUUAGGAUCCCAUUGGAACAAGCGUCGACAUCUCUUGGCACCACCAGUGCAGCUUGGUUGCAAGACAACAAUCGGUGAAAUCUUAGGCCCUUGAGAGCAUCAGUUCAUUUAAGCAAGCAACAACUACCUUCUGCUCAACACUUGCAUCUAAAACAAAGCGCAAAAUUGCGUCUGGCUCGUUUAUGUUUUGUAAGACAUUACAACAUUGAAGUAGACACUAGGAGUACAUCUAAUUGAACUUCACUGAACAGAGAACAUAUCGACCAUUGCACUUGGGCCUUUAAAUCAUCACAAGUUCCAGGUGGCCGAGGGGGUCCACCGACAGGCACAGGUGUUUGCACGACUCUGCUUUU